AAGUCGUAACAAGGUUUCCGUAGGUGAACCUGCGGAAGGAUCAUUAUCCUUUAGCGUAAUGUUUAAUCGCAUUACAAGCGCAUGCACGCUCUCGUGUUGCGUAAAAUUGCAUAGCGAUGAUGUCUAGUCAUUGUCGUUUAUCAAAUCCAUGCUCGCGUGAGCAUGGUCGGGUACCUAGACUUGUGUUUUAACACAUGUUGAAGCGAUAGAUGCGUGUCUAUCGUGUGGCGUAAAGAUCAUUCGAGCUCCAUGAAUGACGCCCGCUUAGCAAAAAUUUUUUAUACAAAUUAUUAAUCGCUUAUUAUGUUGUAUGUGUCAAGCAAAAUCUUACUAUUAAGAUUAUAACACAAAUACAACCCUAUGCGGUGGAUCAUUUGGCUC
rnacentral:misc_RNA from 1 species